rnacentral:rRNA from 1 species
GGCUGGUUUCCGUAUGUGAACCUGCGGAAGGAUCAUUG